rnacentral:rRNA from 1 species
UUGAAAGGGAAACGAUUGAAGUCAGUCGUACCUGUGGGUAAUCAGCCUUUUGGGUGUGAUUUUGUGGAGUGUGAGGAGUUAAACGCCUUCAUGCCUGCAUAUUCGUGCACUUUGGGUGUAUUUACCCGUGUGGUAAGUUAACAUCAAUUUCGGUGGUCAUAAAAUGGCUGGAGGAAUGUAGCUUCGAUCUUGUAUUGAAGUGUUAUAGCCUUCGGUAGAUGUGAUGAUCGGGAUUGAGGAUUGCAACGGAUACCCUUCGGGGCUACCUGUCUGGUCUCUGAUCGUUGCUCUGGUGCCGAAAGCUUGCUUACGGUUAUCAAAGUCGAUGGUCAAUAGGUUAGAACGGGUUAAAUUCGUUAAGGAUGUUGACGUA